rnacentral:rRNA from 1 species
UGAGGUAACGGCUCACCAAGGCUACGAUGGUUAGGGGGUCUGAGAGGAUGAUCCCCCACACUGGUACUGAGACACGGACCAGACUCCUACGGGAGGCAGCAGUGAGGAAUAUUGGGCAAUGGGCGCAAGCCUGACCCAGCCAUGCCGCGUGAAGGAUGAAUGCCCUAUGGGUUGUAAACUUCUUUUGUACGGGACGAAACUCUUGGUCGGGACCAGGACUGACUGUACCGUACGAAUAAGCAUCGGCUAACUCCGUGCCAGCAGCCGCGGUAAUACGGAGGAUGCAAGCGUUAUCCGGAUUCAUUGGGUUUAAAGGGUGCGUAGGCGGAAUAAUAAGUCAGUGGUGAAAGCCUGCGGCUUAACCGUAGAAUUGCCAUUGAUACUGUUAUUCUUGAGUAUAGUUGAGGUGGGCGGAAUGUGUAAUGUAGCGGUGAAAUGCUUAGAUAUUACACAGAACACCAAUUGCGAAGGCAGCUCACUAAGCUGUUACUGACGCUGAGGCACGAAAGCGUGGGGAGCAAACAGGAUUAGAUACCCUGGUAGUCCACGCCGUAAACGAUGAUCACUCGUUGUUGGCGAUACACCGUCAGCGACUGAGCGAAAGCAAUAAGUGAUCCACCUGGGGAGUACGGUCGCAAGACUGAAACUCAAAGGAAUUGACGGGGGCCCGCACAAGCGGAGGAACAUGUGGUUUAAUUCGAUGAUACGCGAGGAACCUUACCUGGGCUUGAAGGGGAACGACUUCCCGGGAACCGGGAUUCUCUUCGAGCGUUCUCCUAGUGCUGCAUGAUGUCGUCAGCUCGU